rnacentral:lncRNA from 1 species
ACUGCCGUGAAAUUAUAAGCUUCUGAUUUAAUAUAUUCAAUUUGAAAUUUUCUCUGUGCAAUCCUUGACCAGCGAGUCUUACAGCCUGAUAUUAUACGUGAAAUGUUGAACCGCACAUAACGUCUACCGUCACCGUAUGCUCGAAUGCUUCGGCAGUCUGAUUAUUCAUUUAUUCACUCCUCCGGGCGUCACAGAUUACCUAAUCCCUAUGUUUUCCUCAACCGGGUUCGUUAGCGAAGCUGCAUACAAGUGAUUGAUAACAGAAGGAGCUGACGAUCCUUUACGAGUGCAGCCUAAGAAGUUUCGAAAAGUGCUUUCAAAGCAUGCGGUGUUACCGGUUUAAAAAGAAAACAAAAAAAAUUAAAAUAAAUAAAUAACGCCAACAAUAAGUCCACGACGAUGGAUGGAUCGGUUGAAAGAUCCAUCCUGAACAAGGAAUACAUAGAAUUUCAUUCGUUUCACCCCGAGACAGCGAUGAAAAAAGCUUCUUCAACAAUCUGUCGAAAGACACAGACGGACGGAUCAUUCCACUUGACGUAUAACCCGAGUUAUUUCAGUCUCCCGUUAACUGCCGCUGCAGCUUCAUAAAUUUCCUCCAAGGGAUCAAAGGUUACAAGAAGAUGCGGCGUCUAGAGGGCAACGACGAUAAGGGAUAACGAGAUACGACGGGUUUCAAUUCCGCGUCAAGAAAGCCGAGGUGCUUUUUUUUCUUCCUUCCACACGGUGUAUAAUUUUCUUUAAUACACUUUUUUUCCCCCGAGUAUAAGAUGCGACGCGUUCGACUUAUAUCUUCGAUCAUAAAAAUACAAAGAUGGUGAGAAAAUCGACCGCAAAAGGAGAUCUCGUGAAUUUUUCUAUUUUUUUUCUUCCUUCUUUUCCCCUUCUUCCUUCUUUUCACGGUAUAAUAGGGGGCUCUUUGUACGUAAUGGCAAAACGUUCGACAGGCACCUAGAUUUAUGUACAUGUAUAAAGAAAAAGUGAUACAGCGAUGAAUACGUCGUCGUCCAUUAAAGCCGGUGAUUAAAACAAGGCUUCCUCUUCUCACGUGGCGCCAAACGGAUUAUGACGAACGUUGAGAAAAAUUCAAACACAAGAAAAAACUGCAGACUGCACGAUGCGCUGCAUAUACACGCCUUUCAUCGCCUAACGUCGGACUUUUUUGUUACGUUGUAAAAAUUUUUUCAUCUACCCUCUCUCUCAUUCUUUCUUACAGCUACUCUCAUCUUAUUCAUAUUACGAUAAUUCUCCGAAUUUUUCCAGCUUCUAAAAAUCAAAGUAAUUUUUUAGGAUAAUCGCUCGGUUAAGAAAACAAGACGCGUGAAUUAGUCGAAAGUUUAAAUUUGCGUGAAUAUUUUCACCAUGGUGUCCGGUAAAAAAAAAAAAAAAAAAAACCCGUAACCAAUUCAUUUCCAGGACAUUUUUAGGUUAUUCAAGGACAUUCAGGAAAAAUAAGAAUACACGAAUGCAAAGGGCAGAGGGCACUGUACGCAACCGGCGCGACGUACGAGAUAUACAAUAUACGUUAUUUCUACCACAAGCUGUUAGGAGAGAAAAACGAAAAACGCGAUUCGAGAACAUUUUCAGAACCUCAAGGACUUCCAGGACCACUGGACACCACGUUGACGCGAUGAGACGAUAUUUUGUAGAGAAGAGUAAAUGGGCAUCGGCAGCCUGCGAUGCGAUGUGCGAACUACAAGAUUUCCAGUCACGAGAAGAAGACCGCUUGACGUAAAUGGAAGUCCGUCAGUCUGCAUUUGAAUGAAGUUGUACAACGUUGAACGAUCGCUAAUAAAUUCCCCAGGGACAAUAUGUAUACCAACCAA